UACAGAGGUCUCAAGCGUUGUUCGGAUUCAUUGGGCGUAAAGGGUGCGUAGGCGGCGCGGUAAGUCGGGUGUGAAAUCUUGGAGCUUAACUCCGAAACUGCAUUCGAUACUGCGGUGCUUGAGGACUGGAGAGGAGACUGGAAUUCAUGGUGUAGCAGUGAAAUGCGUAGAGAUCAUGAGGAAGACCAGUGGCGAAGGCGGGUCUCUGGACAGUUUCCUGACACUGAGACACGAAGGCCAGGGAGCAAACGGG
rnacentral:rRNA from 1 species